CUGAUUCCCUUCAUCUUGCCUGAUCUUUUGUCUGACUAACGAAGGAUUAAUAUUACAGCGCCAGUCAUUGGGAUUAACCCAAUAUCGAUUCCCGGCAUAUCUAGCUUACCUCGGAGUGACGGACUUGCAGGACCAGCCACCGGGACUGAUUCUCUUAUGAUUCCUGGCAUUCCCCAGAUACCUACGGAUGAUGGACCUACAGGACCAGCCGCUUGGGCC